UAAAUCAUCCUUCUCUCCGAUUGAGCUGUAGGAGCACCAACCCGACGAGCAUCAUUUUUGUCGGCGCACAGAGGAAAGCUGAAGGAGAAGGCGCAGGAGCCCCCUUUGCCUGACAGGAGCUUUACAAAGGAAGGUCAGUCACCAGGUACCCAUUACGCAGGCAAAGGAAACUGAGACUCAUGCAAAGCCUCUGGCAAAGGUGGAAACAAAACCUCGGGCUGUGAUCCUGCAUUAAGAGCCGUCUGGAUCUGCCUGCCUGGAGCUCCUUACAGAUGAGCAGUCUGGGGCUGGACCGGUGAAGACGUAACUCCCUUUGUGCCUGCUGUGCCUGCUGAUCCCCCAAAACGCUGCCUCUCGCUGUGCUGGUGCCACCCAGACCUGUCCCACCGCAGCGCUUGGUCGCAGCAGGGCUCAACUCCCGGCUACUGCCACUGCUGUCUCGAGGACGAGGCGAGAGGUAACUUUUCCUGGGGGAUUUCAGCGUGAGCCGAGCGCUCCAGCCAGCCUGGCCCUUGUCUCGGGGUGCUGCGGGUGCCUACGCUGGCAGACAGAAGCAGGGCAGGGAACAGCCCCUGCUGCCCAGCCGAUGGAGCAGGAUGUGAUCCCCAGGCUCCUGUGGGCCAUCUUUGUUUGGAAGGCUACUGAUGCUUCUGAUCCCAGCCUGCCUCCCUGCAGGAGGAGCCACAAGAGGAGAUGUGGAGAAGUCUUGUUGAAGCCUUGGAGAAGAGCAGAGGAGAAAACUGGAGGAGUGGGCUGCUACGGGAACCAGCUUCACUUCUUGGCCUUGCAUUCUGCUGCAGCAUGGCUCCAGAGCAGUUGUCAGAUACUGAACUGAAGGUUCCAGUCCUGCUGACCACUGUCUGUGAUGAGGAGACCCCCAGACUCCAGCAGACUCAGCCACUGCUCUGGUAGCAGGAGCUCUCCAAAUGUGACCAGGAUCUGUCAGACAGGACAAAGUGAAAGACAUGCUGGGCUCUGAGGUACCAGGGGGAUGGGAAGGGCUCUGUGUAGAGGGGGAGUGGUAGAGAGCAGAUGCCAUGCCUCUGUUGUGUUUUGUUAACCCAAAUUUAACACACUGUGGAAUUUAACAUACUGAAUUGAAUGGUGAGUUUCUCCCUUUUGUAGGAUGCCUGUCUUCCUCUAGCUGAUAACAGAGAUUUGUAAAUCUAUUAUUGCUUCCACGUACCUUCAGAGAAACUUGUGCUUUAGGUUUUAUGUGUUGAAAACUUUAGGUCCUAGGUCCACAUUCAAAUGUCUGUCCAAAUGUGAUUGGACAGACAUUUGAAUUCCUUUAAGACUGGUCAUAUUCCUUUCCCUCAGAUAAAAUUGUCAUGCUAGAAGUUUUCCACCAUCCCUGUGUCUCCAGAGAGAAUCUUGGAGACUUGAAGGUGACUUUUCUGAAAAAUGGUCUCAAUAUAAUUCCAAAAAUACCUUAUAAUUUGGAGCCUGCUCCUCAACCUCCAGCAGAGAUCAAAGAGAUCCCAGAAAAUAUAUUAAGCACCAUGCAUUCCUAGGAGCUGUGCCUUUGGCUGUAAUGAAUCAAUCAACUACCCUUUUAUCAACCAUGUAUAAACUGACUUAGGGCAUUUUGGAGACAAAGGCUACUAGUACAAGGCUGCUGGUUUAGGCUUUGUUUUCAUUAAAAAGUUUGACUCCAAAGGAAGAUCUUUGUUUUCAAACAGUGUUUUUUACAUCUUCCUGUUAUUUUCACCUUCAGGCUUGCUCAGCCAGUUGGAUAUGAAAAACUUGUUCUUGCUUCCUAGUGGCAAGACCAUGUGUGGAUGGUGUGUAUGGGGUGCUAAUUACUGUCUGUCACUGGUAUUUAUGGGGUUCCAAUCACUACGGCACCGUGGUGCCAGGGACAAUAUUGAGAUAAGCAGGUAAAUUAUGGAACGUGGACUCUGCUCUUCCCAUCCACAGUGCUUGGCCCCUUCGACUUGGAGACUUUGUCCCCUUGCUCAUGCUCAGAUGUGGGCACCUGAGAAGAAGUGAGGUUUGUGCUUUGCUGUGAACAGCUCUGUCCUGUGAGCUCAGCCAGGCUGUACCUGGUACCCCUGGCUCCAUCUGGGAUCACAUCCUGCUCCCAUCCCUCAUGCUGGCCGUGGCACCAGCUCUGUGACCGGUGGCACUGGGAGCAGAGCCCACAGAAUGGCCUGUGUGGCCUUCACACCAGCUGCUGCUGAGCCCUUUUCCAUGGAACGUUUUCCAAAAUCCAACAAGCUGUGUAAACUGGGAGAGCGGAAAUCAAUUGAGGUGCUGAUUCCCAGCCUGUGCAGGAUCACGGAAGAUGUCCCAGUCAGACAGCAUGGAAAGCUUUGAUCUCUUU